AUACGUAGGUGGCAAGCGUUGUCCGGAAUUAUUGGGCGUAAAGCGCGCGCAGGUGGUUCCUUAAGUCUGAUGUGAAAGCCCCCGGCUCAACCGGGGAGGGUCAUUGGAAACUGGGGAACUUGAGUGCAGAAGAGGAUAGUGGAAUUCCAAGUGUAGCGGUGAAAUGCGUAGAGAUUUGGAGGAACACCAGUGGCGAAGGCGACUGUCUGGGCUGUAACUGACACUGAGGCGCGAAAGCGUGGGGAGAAAACAGGAUUAGAUACCCUGGUAGUCCACGCCGUAAACGAGGAGUGCUAAGUGUUGGGGGGUUUCCGCCCCUCAGUGCUGCAGCUAACGCAUUAAGCACUCCGCCUGGGGAGUACGGUCGCAAGACUGAAACUCAAAUGAAUUGACGGGG
rnacentral:rRNA from 1 species